rnacentral:lncRNA from 1 species
UGUCAUGUCCACCAUUAUAUAGACUUGUUAAAACUCAAAAACAACCACUAACAUUGAGACCAAUGGUUGAUAAAUCAUAAUCACCACUUACUUCUUUGGAGAAGAAGCUAACAUAAUGGUGUUUAAUGAAAAUGACAGACUACACAUGCACAGUGGACUCUUCUAUAAAAUUCCUACAUUUAAAUUCUCAUAACAUAAAGGAAGAUACAUUCAUUGUUGCAGAUUAUUCAAAACUCUACACAUCCAUAAGUUUAGUCCCAGCAUGUCUGUUCUUAUAUAGGUUUUUGCUUAAAGGCCGCCACACACGGAGCGAUUUGUCGUCAGAUCGGUCGCCAAAUUUCAGGUUCGUCAGACCAAUUGU